rnacentral:rRNA from 1 species
UACGGGGGGGGCAAGCGUUGUUCGGAAUUACUGGGCGUAAAGGGCUCGUAGGUGGCCAACUAAGUCAUACGUGAAAUCCCUCGGCUUAACCGGGGAACUGCGUCUGAUACUGGAUGGCUUGAGUUUGGGAGAGGGAUGCGGAAUUCCAGGUGUAGCGGUGAAAUGCGUAGAUAUCUGGAGGAACACCGGUGGCGAAGGCGGCAUCCUGGACCAACACUGACACUGAUGAGCGAAAGCCAGGGGAGCAAACGGG